CAGUAGCCGCGGUAAUACGUAGGUGGCAAGCGUUGUCCGGAAUUAUUGGGCGUAAAGGGCUCGCAGGCGGUUUCUUAAGUCUGAUGUGAAAGCCCCCGGCUCAACCGGGGAGGGUCAUUGGAAACUGGGAAACUUGAGUGCAGAAGAGGAGAGUGGAAUUCCACGUGUAGCGGUGAAAUGCGUAGAGAUGUGGAGGAACACCAGUGGCGAAGGCGACUCUCUGGUCUGUAACUGACGCUGAGGAGCGAAAGCGUAGGGAGCGAACAGGAUUAGAUACCCCUGUAGUCCCUGUCUCUUAUAC
rnacentral:rRNA from 1 species